rnacentral:lncRNA from 1 species
UACAUGUUUUUCAAAGUCAACACGUGUUAGAUGUCUUAUAGGACAUUACCAUGUAGCUCUUAGUUAAGAAUAUAUAUAGAAGUAAGAGUAAAACCUUCUUUAUUCUUCUCAAUACCUUUUUACUCUUUAGUCUUGUUUCAAGACUUUUUAGUCUUCUUAUCUUUGGCAAUAGCUAUGUUAGUUCAAUAUAUUAAUCUCUUAAAUGAAUUCCUAGUCUUUUUGAAUAAUACAAGAGUAUAUUGAAGCUUUCUUUCUUUAAG